GUGGGUAUAGCUCAGUGGUAGAGCACAUGCUUAACACGCAUGAGGUCCUGCAUUUAAUCCCUAGUACCUCCA
rnacentral:tRNA from 1 species